GCCCGCAUAGCUCAGUUGGUUUAGAGUGCAGGUCUCAUAUCACGUGAUAUGACAACUCCUAAGGUUGCAAUCCUGAGGUCG